UGCAGUCGAACGAUGACUUCUGUGCUUGCACAGAAUGAUUAGUGGCGAACGGGUGAGUAACACGUGAGUAACCUGCCCUUGACUUCGGGAUAAGCCUGGGAAACCGGGUCUAAUACCGGAUACGACCUCCUGGCGCAUGCCAUGGGGGUGGAAAGCUUUAUUGCGGUUUUGGAUGGACUCGCGGCCUAUCAGCUUGUUGGUUGGGGUAAUGGCCCACCAAGGCGACGACGGGUAGCCGGCCUGAGAGGGUGACCGGCCACACUGGGACUGAGACACGGCCCAGACUCCUACGGGAGGCAGCAGUGGGGAAUAUUGCACAAUGGGCGAAAGCCUGAUGCAGCGACGCCGCGUGAGGGAUGACGGCCUUCGGGUUGUAAACCUCUUUCAGCAGGGAAGAAGCGAAAGUGACGGUACCUGCAGAAGAAGCGCCGGCUAACUACGUGCCAGCAGCCGCGGUAAUACGUAGGGCGCAAGCGUUAUCCGGAAUUAUUGGGCGUAAAGAGCUCGUAGGCGGUUUGUCGCGUCUGCUGUGAAAGCCCGGGGCUCAACCCCGGGUCUGCAGUGGGUACGGGCAGACUAGAGUGAUGUAGGGGAGACUGGAAUUCCUGGUGUAGCGGUGAAAUGCGCAGAUAUCAGGAGGAACACCGAUGGCGAAGGCAGGUCUCUGGGCAUUAACUGACGCUGAGGAGCGAAAGCAUGGGGAGCGAACAGGAUUAGAUACCCUGGUAGUCCAUGCCGUAAACGUUGGGCACUAGGUGUGGGGGACAUUCCACG
rnacentral:rRNA from 1 species